GACAGAGCGAAGAGGAACAGCUAGGAAAAUAGCGCAAAGCUCUCCCACGGGGGCCGGCACGUGAGGGCACAACGUCUUCAGGUUCUGCAAAGCUCCCGUAAUCCACCUUAACGCCUAGAGCAAGAUCCAUGCCCUGUGACUAAGCUUACAACACAUGGGACGAAGGAAAGCUGUGACUUGUCUUGGGGCUGUGGUCCUUGGCCCUGGGAGAGGAGCUGACCCCACGUCUCUCCUCCCUGCCCACACCGACUGCCUUCACUCUGACCCUCUUCACCUCCCUCCUCAAGUUAGGGUCUUGCUGUUGCUGAAAUGAAUCACCACAAACCUCAACAACUUAAAGCAACACACUUUCAUCACCUCACAGUUCCGGAGGUCAAAGUCCUGUGAGUCUCACUGGCGAAGAUCAAGGUGUUAACAGGACUGCAUUCCUUGUGAAGCCUUCAGGGAGAGUGCGUCUCCUCAACCUUAUUUACCUUCUGGAGGUAUGUGUUCUUUGGCUCAUGGCCCCCUUCUUCCCUCCUCCAAGCCAGCGAUGGCCAGCUGCCCCACUCAGACUUUGUCUCUUUCAUCACAUCUCUUCCUCCUCCCUUUCCCCCUUUUAAAGACCCUGGGCUUCCUACAUGGCUCAGUGGUAAAGAAUCUGGCUGCCAAUACAGGAGAUGUGGGUUCGAUCCCUUGGUUGGGAAGAUCCCUUGGAGGAGGAAACAGCAACCCACUCCAGUAUUCUUGUCCAGAGAAUCCCAUGGACAGCCUGGUGGGCUACAGCCCAUAGGGUUGCAAAGAGUCAGACACGACUUAGUGAUGGAGCACCCACGCACUGAUACCUUGGGGGCCCUGGGCAAUGCAAGGUAACCUCUCAUCUCAGGGUCCUCAAUCAAACUUAGAGGACAUGGGCAUCUUUGUGGGGCACUGUUCUGUCUAUAACAUUCUUAGACUAAUGUUUAAACUGAAAGUUGUGACUCAUCAGUGACUCACAGAAUCACCUAAAUGAUUUGGAACCAGCAUUCCCACUCCCCUGCCCACCAGUUUUAUUGAAAAGAGUUGACACACAUCACUAUGUAAGUUUAAGGUGUACUGCAUGAUGGUUUGAUUUACACAUAUGGUCAAAAUGAUUACUAUAAUAUGGAACCAAUAUUUCUAAAUGAAAUCAGAAUACUUUGCUUGUAAUAAGGUUAAGUAUUGUUGCAUGAACAUCAAAUUUUAUAUGUGUGUGUGUGUGUUACUUGGUUAGCAGUAUAAAUAAGAAAUAUAUUUCUACAGUGAAUUUUUAUUUUUUUAAAAAAGGAGAGUGACUACGAAGCCAUCAUGGUAGCCUCCUAAUUGGUCUUUCUGCCUUCAGGCUCUCUAAUCCAUUCUCCACAAGGCUGUCAAAAAGUUCUUCCUAAAAAUAAACUGGACACGUCACUCUGC
ensembl:lncRNA